rnacentral:rRNA from 1 species
GGAUCCAGACUUUGAUUAUGCUCAGGAUGAACGCUAGCUACAGGCUUAACACAUGCAAGUCGAGGGGAAACGACAUCGAAAGCUUGCUUUUGAUGGGCGUCGACCGGCGCACGGGUGAGUAACGCGUAUCCAACCUGCCCACCACUUGGGGAUAACCUUGCGAAAGUAAGACUAAUACCCAAUGACGUCUCUAGAAGACAUCUGAAAGAGAUUAAAGAUUUAUCGGUGAUGGAUGGGGAUGCGUCUGAUUAGCUUGUUGGCGGGGUAACGGCCCACCAAGGCUACGAUCAGUAGGGGUUCUGAGAGGAAGGUCCCCCACAUUGGAACUGAGACACGGUCCAAACUCCUACGGGAGGCAGCAGUGAGGAAUAUUGGUCAAUGGACGAGAGUCUGAACCAGCCAAGUAGCGUGCAGGAUGACGGCCCUAUGGGUUGUAAACUGCUUUUAUAAGGGAAUAAAGUGAGUCUCGUGAGACUUUUUGCAUGUACCUUAUGAAUAAGGACCGGCUAAUUCCGUGCCAGCAGCCGCGGUAAUACGGAAGGUCCGGGCGUUAUCCGGAUUUAUUGGGUUUAAAGGGAGCGUAGGCCGGAGAUUAAGCGUGUUGUGAAAUGUAGAUGCUCAACAUCUGCACUGCAGCGCGAACUGGUUUCCUUGAGUACGCACAAAGUGGGCGGAAUUCGUGGUGUAGCGGUGAAAUGCUUAGAUAUCACGAAGAACUCCGAUUGCGAAGGCAGCUCACUGGAGCGCAACUGACGCUGAAGCUCGAAAGUGCGGGUAUCGAACAGGAUUAGAUACCCUGGUAGUCCGCACGGUAAACGAUGGAUGCCCGCUGUUGGUCUGAAUAGGUCAGCGGCCAAGCGAAAGCAUUAAGCAUCCCACCUGGGGAGUACGCC